AUGGUGUGUUCUGAUGCCUGUAACAGAUGUCAAGAAAACGAUAACCUUCAAUCAGGGAAAGAGGGAGGUACCGUAAAGGGUGUGGUCGGGGGAGGACAAAACCGGAGAGCUCAGAAGAAUCACUGCCCUGAUCCCUUCCGCGCUGGCAGCUGCGAGGACAGAGGCCCCUUUGUAUCCUGCGGUGCGGAGGUGGAACAGAGGAGAGGGUGCCCCGGACUGGCCCCCACCCUCGCCCUGCAGCGCUGCCCCUCCUUUCACAGCAACCCACGGCCUCCCCCUCGCUUGACCCAGCUGGCGAGCUGCCCCUUAUACCUGGAUCCGCCUCUCGGGACGCAGCUCCCCAGGCCCGAUCACCGAGCGGUGCCUAGGAACUGGGAGCGUAACUCAGCUCGGCUCAGAACCUUACCCGAGAGCCAAAGAACACUGAACUCAUCUACAUGCUGCUUGACAUCUUAUCUGCAUACCAAGCUAUUUGGUGGACGUCCACAUGCGCCCCCGACUCCCGUUCCACUAGCAAAAGCCCCUUCCCUGGGUCCACGAUCCCGACCACCCGGCUCUCCAGGAGACAAUACUCCAAUUCUCUGGGAAGUGGAAGAAACCAAGCUGGAACUAGGGGGGCGCUGGGACCCCUAUUGGGGCUUUGAGAGCUUCCGGUUGUCAUCUCCUAAGUAUUCGGAGACCCUUCUCCAAAACUCUUGGGGAAAGAGUUUAGGCAGCAACAAACAGAGUGGCCCUGGGGGUGCCCUCGACCGACAGCCGACCCCUCGGCGUCUAGGACCUCCGAGCGGGGAUGCAGCUGGGGGUCUAGGGAAGCACUUCCACCCGCUCCUCCUCAACCCUGGCAGGGUGGAUCUGAAUUCAAAUCCCACUGGCAGCCCUGAUACUGCUGGGGGAAGGGUAAGGCUACCGCUGCUUCAAGACAGUGAUGUUUCUCUCCGGUCUGCUGUCAGGAGCUUUCUACUGUGCCACAAGGUGCGGGUGCUGGAGACACAGCUGAGCCUGGAAAUGAGAGUAGGCAUGGCUGUGGUCAUCACCACAGCACUCUCUACGUAGACCACUCCUCUACGGCGUGGUCACCAUGCUGGUUCACUGUUUUGGGCUCUUAUUAACUGGUCUCCUGCUAGGCCUGACCUUGGGUGCUGGAGUCCUGCUCUCCACUGAGCCUAUCUGCCAACCACCUUCAGCAUGGGUGCCAGCUGGGGGACUGGGGGGCCGGCGCUGCUGGGAACCCUGCUCACACUUGGGUGGUCACGUCCAUUCACAGUUCUGGGCACAGCCCUGCUGGGUUCUGCAGUGUUUGUGGCCUAUGCUGACUUAAUUCCUGGAGGAGCUGGCACUGGGCAGUCGGCUGGGCCAAUGCCUGUAGACACUUCCACCCUUGUCUUCUCUCUGCUGAUAUAGCUGGAUCUUCCUGGGGAUUUGGCCAGUCUUGGGGGCCCUGGUCCAGUGGAAGCUCGUGCCUGAGGAACAUGGAGGCCAUACCAAUGGUGAGUUAGUGCUGUGGUACAGAAGCAAGGUCAUGCCUGAGGAACAUGGAGGCCACACCAAUGAGUCUUCAAGAGUGCCAACUGGGACCAGGACCCCAGGCCACAGCCCCCUACACCGUCCUGGACCUGGAUUCUGACUGUGGUUCCACUGUACCCCUUACCUUAAUCUCUGGUUCUAACCAGACCUGAGCCUAGACUUCCACUUUUGCCCUCACCCCUGUGAGGGCCUGGGAACACUAGGUGGACAGGGUUUGAGUCACAGGACCUGCACAUAAACUUCCCCACCUCUUGGACUUGGGGAUAGGAUCUGUGCCUCAACCCAGACCAGCCUUGUAGGGAUAUGUUCCAAGAACAGAGAAGAGUCUUAUGGGGAAGGGGGAAGAAGGAAAGUAUGAAUAUUUACCUCUGACCAAUAAUAGAGGUACCCUGGUCCCCAAAGAAACUGACUACCGAAUUCCCUCCAAGCCUUACCUAUAUAGCCUUUUUUUUUUUUUUUUUUUUUUUUUGAGACAAGGUCUUGUUCUGUCCAGUGCCGUGGCGUGAUCAUAGCUCAUGACAAUCUUGACCUCCCCAGCCCAAGCAAGCCUCCCAUUCAGCCUCCCGAGUGGCUGGGACCACAGGCGCCACACACAGCUAAUUUUUAUUCAUUUGUUUUUAUUUAUUUAUUUAUUUAUUUUUUUUUUUUUUGCAGAGAUAGGGUCUCCCUAUGUUGCCCAAGCUGGUCUUGAACUCCUGGGCUCAAGUGAUCCUCCUGCUUCAGCCUCCCAAAAUGCUAGGAUUAUAGCCACCGUACCUGGUCUUGAAAUAGCCUUUUAAAUAUCCACCUCAGCAUGCCUCACAGUGGUAAAAACAAGCGGUUUUUGUUUUGUAGGAUCAGGGAGCUUCUAAGGCAUUUGAUAGCUUUUUGAUGGGAAGAAGGGCUCUGAGGAGCUCCAAGAUACCCCAACCUCCAGGUACUUCAUUAGGGGGUAGUUGGGUUUGUUUGACCUUCCCCCUGGGCCCCAUAGGCUUAAACCCCCACCUCCUACCUCAGCUAGGAGCACUAUCUUCCAUGGUGCUUCCACUUUUCUCCUCAACCUGGGGAAGACCACAGGGCAGUGCCUGCCUCAGGACCUGCCUUCCCCAAAAGCUGGCUUCUUGCUCUGAGGAGAGAGCAUUGGCCCACCUGCCAGAGUCUUGCGUUUUGCCCAAAGGAGCCUGGUCUUCAGGGCUGCAUAGGAGACAAAUGCUUUCUCUGCUUCUCACUGUGGGUGGCACUAAUUUCCUCCUUAACCAGAACUUUGUUCCAGCCACUAACCCAUUCUAACUCUUCCCCCUCUGACUCUCCUGCCCAAGGUCUGUUCCUGGUUUCCCAGAUGCAUAAAGGAAGACAUAUCCCUCCCCUGGGCAGCAAGGCUACAAUGGGAGGGAGGGAGAACAUGGGAGCAUGUGAAUAAAAUGGCAUUAAAUACUGAACCAGG